rfam:Parcubacteria bacterium GW2011_GWA2_31_28 TR15_C0003, whole genome shotgun sequence.
GCCCAAGUAGCUCAGCUGGUAGAGCAACUCCAUGGUAAGGAGUAGGUCAACGGUUCAAAUCCGUUCUUGGGCU